AAAAAGGCAAACCCUGGUUUCCGUGUCCAACGUUUGACCGUCCGUCUUAUUUAAAAAAUUAUGAAAAAAAUUAAAAAGACAAGUCACGCAUAAAAUAUUAAUCAUGUUUUAUCAUCUAACAACAAUGAAAAUAUGAAUUAUAAAAAAAUUUCAUAUAAGAUGGACAGUCAAAGUUAGACACGGAAACCCAGGGUUUGCCUUUUU
rnacentral:pre_miRNA from 1 species